rnacentral:rRNA from 1 species
ACCAGACUCCUACGGGAGGCAGCAGUGGGGGAUAUUGCACAAUGGGGGGAACCCUGAUGCAGCGACGCCGCGUGGGUGAAGGAGCGUUUCGGCGCGUAAAGCCCUAUCAGCAGGGAAGAAAAUGACGGUACCUGACUAAGAAGCCCCGGCUAACUACGUGCCAGCAGCCGCGGUAAUACGUAGGGGGCAAGCGUUAUCCGGAUUUACUGGGUGUAAAGGGAGCGUAGACGGCGGCGCAAGUCCGGAGUGAAAGCCCACGGCCCAACCGUGGGACUGCUCUGGAAACUGUGCGGCUUGAGUGCGGGAGGGGCAGGCGGAAUUCCUAGUGUAGCGGUGAAAUGCGUAGAUAUUAGGAGGAACACCAGUGGCGAAGGCGGCCUGCUGGACGACAACUGACGGUGAGGCGCGAAAGCGUGGGGAGCAAACAGGAUUAGAUACCCGUGUA